UGAGGCAUGCUGGAGGUAUCAGAAGUGCGAAUGCUGACAUAAGUAACGAUAAAGCGGGUGAAAAGCCCGCUCGCCGGAAGACCAAGGGUUCCUGUCCAACGUUAAUCGGGGCAGGGUGAGUCGACCCCUAAGGCGAGGCCGAAAGGCGUAGUCGAUGGGAAACGGGUUAAUAUUCCCGUACUUGGUGUUACUGCGAAGGGGGGACGGAGAAGGCUAUGUUGGCCGGGCGACGGUUGUCCCGGUUUAAGCGUGUAGGUGUGUGUUCCAGGUAAAUCCGGUUCACUUUAACACUGAGGCGUGACGACGAGGCACUACGGUGCUGAAGCAACAAAUGCCCUGCUUCCAGGAAAAGCCUCUAAGCAUCAGGUAACAUCAAAUCGUACCCCAAACCGACACAGGUGGUCAGGUAGAGAAUACCAAGGCGCUUGAGAGAACUCGGGUGAAGGAACUAGGCAAAAUGGUGCCGUAACUUCGGGAGAAGGCACGCUGACACGUAGGUGAAGUGAUUUACUCAUGGAGCUGAAGUCAGUCGAAGAUACCAGCUGGCUGCAACUGUUUAUUAAAAACACAGCACUGUGCAAACACGAAAGUGGACGUAUACGGUGUGACGCCUGCCCGGUGCCGGAAGGUUAAUUGAUGGGGUCAGCGCAAGCGAAGCUCCUGAUCGAAGCCCCGGUAAACGGCGGCCGUAACUAUAACGGUCCUAAGGUAGCGAAAUUCCUUGUCGGGUAAGUUCCGACCUGCACGAAUGGCGUAAUGAUGGCCAGGCUGUCUCCACCCGAGACUCAGUGAAAUUGAACUCGCUGUGAAGAUGCAGUGUACCCGCGGCAAGACGGAAAGACCCCGUGAACCUUUACUAUAGCUUGACACUGAACAUUGAGCCUUGAUGUGUAGGAUAGGUGGGAGGCUUUGAAGUGUGGACGCCAGUCUGCAUGGAGCCGACCUUGAAAUACCACCCUUUAAUGUUUGAUGUUCUAACGUGGACCCGUUACCCGGGUUGCGGACAGUGUCUGGUGGGUAGUUUGACUGGGGCGGUCUCCUCCUAAAGAGUAACGGAGGAGCACGAAGGUUGGCUAAUCCUGGUCGGACAUCAGGAGGUUAGUGCAAUGGCAUAAGCCAGCUUGACUGCGAGCGUGACGGCGCGAGCAGGUGCGAAAGCAGGUCAUAGUGAUCCGGUGGUUCUGAAUGGAAGGGCCAUCGCUCAACGGAUAAAAGGUACUCCGGGGAUAACAGGCUGAUACCGCCCAAGAGUUCAUAUCGACGGCGGUGUUUGGCACCUCGAUGUCGGCUCAUCACAUCCUGGGGCUGAAGUAGGUCCCAAGGGUAUGGCUGUUCGCCAUUUAAAGUGGUACGCGAGCUGGGUUUAGAACGUCGUGAGACAGUUCGGUCCCUAUCUGCCGUGGGCGCUGGAGAACUGAGGGGGGCUGCUCCUAGUACGAGAGGACCGGAGUGGACGCAUCACUGGUGUUCGGGUUGUCAUGCCAAUGGCACUGCCCGGUAGCUAAAUGCGGAAGAGAUAAGUGCUGAAAGCAUCUAAGCACGAAACUUGCCCCGA
rnacentral:rRNA from 1 species